rnacentral:rRNA from 1 species
AACGCGAAGAACCUUACCUGGGCUCGAAAUGUAGUGGAAUAGGGUGGAAACAUCCUAGGCUCGCAAGAGACUGCUAUAUAGGUGCUGCAUGGCUGUCGUCAGCUCGUGUCGUGAGAUGUUGGGUUAAGUCCCGCAACGAGCGCAACCCUUACCCCCAGUUGCCAUCAUUAAGUUGGGCGACUCUGGUGGAACCGCCUCGGAUAACGGGGAGGGAAGGUGGGGAGUGACGUCAAGUCCUCAUGGCCUUUAUGUCCAGGGCUACACACGUGCUACAAUGGCCGGUACAAACCGUCGCAAACCCGCGAGGGGGAGCUAAUCGGAAAAAGACCGGCCUCAGUUCGGAUCGCAGUCUGCAACUCGACUGCGUGAAGCUGGAAUCGCUAGUAAUCGCGGAUCAGAAUGCCGCGGUGAAUACGUUCCCGGGCCUUGUACACACCGCGCAUA